rnacentral:rRNA from 1 species
UACGGAGGGUGCAAGCGUUAUCCGGAUUCACUGGGUUUAAAGGGUGCGUAGGCGGGCAGGUAAGUCCGUGGUGAAAUCUCUGAGCUUAACUCAGAAACUACCAUGGAUACUAUUUGUCUUGAAUAUUGUGGAGGUAAGCGGAAUAUGUCAUGUAGCGGUGAAAUGCUUAGAUAUGACAUAGAACACCAAUUGCGAAGGCAGCUUACUACACAGUUAUUGACGCUGAGGCACGAAAGCGUGGGGAUCAAACAGG